rnacentral:rRNA from 1 species
AGCGAACGCUGGCGGCAGGCUUAACACAUGCAAGUCGAGCGGGCACCUUCGGGUGUCAGCGGCGGACGGGUGAGUAACGCGUGGGAACGUGCCUUCUGGUUCGGAAUAACCCUGGGAGACUAGGGCUAAUACCGGAUACGCCCUUUUGGGGAAAGGUUUACUGCCGGAAGAUCGGCCCGCGUCUGAUUAGCUAGUUGGUGGGGAACGGCCUACCAAGGCGACGAUCAGUAGCUGGUCUGAGAGGAUGAUCAGCCACACUGGGACUGAGACACGGCCCAGACUCCUACGGGAGGCAGCAGUGGGGAAUAUUGGACAAUGGGCGCAAGCCUGAUCCAGCCAUGCCGCGUGAGUGAUGAAGGCCUUAGGGUUGUAAAGCUCUUUUAUCCGGGACGAUAAUGACGGUACCGGAGGAAUAAGCCCCGGCUAACUUCGUGCCAGCAGCCGCGGUAA